AGUUUGAUCCUGGCUCAGAUUGAACGCUGGCGGCAGGCUUAACACAUGCAAGUCGAGCGGGGAAGGGUAGCUUGCUACCUGACCUAGCGGCGGACGGGUGAGUAAUGCUUAGGAAUCUGCCUAUUAGUGGGGGACAACAUUCCGAAAGGAAUGCUAAUACCGCAUACGCCCUACGGGGGAAAGCAGGGGAUCUUCGGACCUUGCGCUAAUAGAUGAGCCUAAGUCAGAUUAGCUAGUUGGUGGGGUAAAGGCCUACCAAGGCGACGAUCUGUAGCGGGUCUGAGAGGAUGAUCCGCCACACUGGGACUGAGACACGGCCCAGACUCCUACGGGAGGCAGCAGUGGGGAAUAUUGGACAAUGGGCGAAAGCCUGAUCCAGCCAUGCCGCGUGUGUGAAGAAGGCCUUUUGGUUGUAAAGCACUUUAAGCGAGGAGGAGGCUGCUUGGAUUAAUACUCUAGGAUAGUGGACGUUACUCGCAGAAUAAGCACCGGCUAACUCUGUGCCAGCAGCCGCGGUAAUACAGAGGGUGCGAGCGUUAAUCGGAUUUACUGGGCGUAAAGCGUGCGUAGGCGGCUUUUUAAGUCGGAUGUGAAAUCCCUGAGCUUAACUUAGGAAUUGCAUUCGAUACUGGGAAGCUAGAGUAUGGGAGAGGAUGGUAGAAUUCCAGGUGUAGCGGUGAAAUGCGUAGAGAUCUGGAGGAAUACCGAUGGCGAAGGCAGCCAUCUGGCCUAAUACUGACGCUGAGGUACGAAAGCAUGGGGAGCAAACAGGAUUAGAUACCCUGGUAGUCCAUGCCGUAAACGAUGUCUACUAGCCGUUGGGGCCUUUGAGGCUUUAGUGGCGCAGCUAACGCGAUAAGUAGACCGCCUGGGGAGUACGGUCGC
rnacentral:rRNA from 1 species